CAAUGGGUUAAUCGUUCUCACAUAAUGUUAUCCAAUCAAUGAACCUAUUUUCUAUUUGACUGGUUUAAUUUAAAUACUUGCUCUUAUUGGAUUUUGUCUAAAGAAAGGUUAGCGAAAACGGUCAAACCAAUAAAACGGCAGAUACAAAGAAUCAGAGACCAUAGUCACCAGCAGAUUGCAUCCAUAUCAGGCAAACUGUUUAGUGGUGAAAAUGGAAUUCGAAGGGACCCUGAUCGAGAUAACAUUCAUAUUCACAUUGCUCUCACGAAUUGGGAGACAGAGUCAAAAGCCGGAAUAGCCUAAAUGACCAUUCAUUCUCCGAUCCGAUACCACAGAUUCUCGAAUCCCAGAUGAAUUUAUUAAAACUCUGCAGGAAACAGAAA